UACGAAGGGGGCUAGCGUUGUUCGGAAUUACUGGGCGUAAAGCGCACGUAGGCGGCCCAGCAAGUCGGGUGUGAAAGCCCUCGGCUUAACCGAGGAAGUGCAUUCGAAACUACUGAGCUUGAAUACUGGAGAGGAUCGCGGAAUUCCCGGUGUAGAGGUGAAAUUCGUAGAUAUCGGGAGGAACACCAGUGGCGAAGGCGGCGAUCUGGACAGAUAUUGACGCUGAGGUGCGAAAGCGUGGGGAGCAAACAGG
rnacentral:rRNA from 1 species